rnacentral:rRNA from 1 species
GACGAACGCUGGCGGCGUGCUUAACACAUGCAAGUCGAGCGGUAAGGCUCCUUCGGGAGUACACGAGCGGCGAACGGGUGAGUAACACGUGAGUAAUCUGCCCUUCACUUCGGGAUAACCACCGGAAACGGUGGCUAAUACCGAAUACGACCAGUCUUCGCAUGAGGUGCUGGUGGAAAGUCUUUUCGGUGAAGGAUGUGCUCGCGGCCUAUCAGCUUGUUGGUGGGGUAAUGGCCUACCAAGGCUUCGACGGGUAGCCGGCCUGAGAGGGUGACCGGCCACACUGGGACUGAGACACGGCCCAGACUCCUACGGGAGGCAGCAGCGGGGAAUAUUGGACAAUGGGCGAAAGCCUGAUCCAGCAACGCCGCGUGAGGGAUGACGGCCUUCGGGUUGUAAACCUCUUUCAGUACCGACGAAGCGCCCUGUCGGGUGGUGACGGUAGGUACAGAAGAAGGACCGGCCAACUACGUG